GCAAGAAAGCCUUCCUCCUGAACAUGGCUGUGAACUGCUCGCUAACCCUCCUGAACAUCUCUUGGAUGGAUGUCGAGUUCCCAAUAAAAGUGGAGGCCAUUUUGAGCCCUUUCGGUGGAAUGUCACACACGCUAGACUUGACAUUGUUUGGUAUCCACUCCACGAAAUAGGAAGAGUUCUUAUUCUGAACAUUGAGCAUCUGCUCAUCGACUUCCUUUGUGCUCAUCUUCCCACGGAACAUGGCUGAGGCAGUUAAGUACCGGCCAUGGCGGGGGUCAGCAGCACACAUCAUGUUCUUGGCAUCCCACAUUUGCUGGGUCAAUUCAGGUACUGUGAGGGCCCGGUACUGUUGUGAACCCCUUGAGGUCAGGGGUGCAAACCCUACCAUAAAGAAGUGGAGGCGGGGGAAUGGGAUGAGGUUUACAGCAAGCUUCCGGAGGUCAGAAUUUAGCUGCCCAGGGAACCUAAGGCAGCAUGUGACGCCACUCAUUGUAGCAGAGAUUAAGUGAUUGAGAUCGCCAACUAAAAUAUAAUGAAACAUCAAAAAACCAUCAGUGAGCAAUAAUGUAAUGACAAAGAAUUGAAAGUGUGCAAACUGGAACAACAUUUUAACUCAAGAAAAUAGAAACAUUUGAUCAUGAUUCAAGAAGCAUAUGGAGAAGAAAAUUAAAUAAAUGGAUUUAUAUAUGAAUUUUGGAUAUUUAGUAAACAAAAUAUGCCAUGUUUACGUACAAAAAGAAAGAAACAGAUAAAAAGGAAAAAAGGAGUGAAGAAAUCGAUCCUUAUAUAAAAUUACUAGCAAAUGAAAACUUUAGCAAACUUUAGAAGUAUAAAAUGAAGAAGCAUAUGAUUAAUUUCAGACCAAAAAGAGAAGAGCAUCAGAGUAUCAACAUUUUAUUCAUUUAGAGAAUAGUCAUAAAAAUCAUAAUUACAACAAGAAUGUAAAAGAAUCAAUGAAGAUGCAAGCAUUACUUACA
rnacentral:lncRNA from 1 species